UUCAGUCAUGGUUUUUUGUGGA
rnacentral:miRNA from 1 species